CGAAUAUAAGGUUGAAGCCCACGUUCAAAUCUUCUAGCCCGCUUUUCCUCCGUAUCCACUAGAUGUGGAGCAAACCUUGAUAAUUCCUCAAAUUUGCGUUCAUAUUCCACGAGGGUCAUGGUUCCCUGUUGGAGUCUGAGGAACUCCAUCUCCUUUUGAUCUUUCACAGCUGUCGGGAAGAAUUUUUCUUCUACGNAAACUCUUCCUCGCCCGGUCUUCGAAAAACCACCAUUCUCUCGGUACAAUGAAUAGUUGCAUAGUUUUUAGACAACCAGUCCAUACCAAGGAUAACAUCAAAGUCUUUUAUCGUUAAUGGAAUUAGAUCUACCGCUAUAUCUCUACCAUCAAUUCCCAUCUUAAGAUCUCUAGCUAUUUGGUUAGUGACAAGUAUCUUUCCAGAUGGAAGAGAUAUUUCUAAGGUGUACGGAAGGAAUUCACAUUCCACUUUAGACUUUGCAACAUUCGAAGAAGAAAUGAACGAAUGUGUAGCUCCAGAAUCUAUAAGUACAAAUGUAGGCAUAUUGGAAACAGAGAUGAUACCUGCGAGGACAUUAGGGUCUCAUUCUACUUCUUGUCUGGAUAAGGAGAAAACUCUUGCUUUUCCUUUCUUGUCAUCUCCAACCUUCUGUGUCUGAUUCUGGGGGCAUUCUUUAGCGAAAUGUCCUGAUUUCCCACACUUGAAAUAAACAUUUUUUCCCAAUAGACAUUUUCCUUUGUGAGGUCUAUCGCACUUGGGACAACGCUUAUCACCACCCACUCCUACUAUCUCCAUCUUUCCUUUCUUUGGUGCAUUAUUCCCUUUUCCUUUACCGUUAUUCUGUCUAUCAAAGUUCCACUUCCUCUUACCUGAGAAAUUUUGAACUUGGUAAGAAUUUCCAACGUUUUGAGUUCUUUGAUAAGAAAUAGUCUGGGCUCGCUUCAGGACUUCUCGAUAAGUGCUCAGCUCAAGAACCGACACUAUGUCACGAAUAUAAGGUUGAAGCCCACGUUCAAAUCUUCUAGCCCGCUUUUCCUCCGUAUCCACUAGAUGUGGAGCAAACCUUGAUAAUUCCUCAGAUUUGCAUUCAUAUUCCAUGAGGGUCAUGGUUCCCUGUUGGAGUCUGAGGAACUCCAUCUCCUUUUGAUCUUUCACAGCUGCCAGGAAGAAUUUUUCUUCUAUGAGUUCCUUAAACCUCACCCAAGUUAUAGCCGGUUCUUCAGCAGGUGUUAAUGACCUGGUAGUCAUGUCCCACCAAUGGCUAGCCCCCUUCUUUAACAUAAACACUGAAAAUGUUACCCUUUCAGCAUCUUCGCAUCUUAUAAAUUUAAAGAUACGUUCUAGUUCUCGUAACCAAUCUUCAACUGCUAAGGGAUCCAUACUCCCUUCAGACGAUGGAGGGUUCAUUUUACGAAACUGCUCUAUUAUUGCAGUUCGAUCCCUCAAGUUAGGUACUAUUUGAGGUUGAAUAGCUGGUUGGUUGGGCUCCUGAUGAUCAACUGGUACUUGUUGAUUUAGGGUUCGUUGCCCAGUCAAAGGUGGUGCCUGUUGUUGCUGUCCCAAUUCUCGCAUUACAGCAAGCAGAUCUCGUGCAAAGUUUGCUGCAUUAACUUUGCCACCACUAGAACUAGCAUUAGCAUUGCCACCGCCUAAGUUCAUAUUGGAAUUUGGUGCACUGCCGUGGUUGUGCUUUGGAGGCAUUUCCUUUGAAUGAAAAAUAUUCAUCCAGUUAGAAUUACUUCAGAACGUAAUACUAACUUUAGAAAAAAAUCCAAAGGCCAAGGCAACUUUCCUUCAUAUAUAUACAUUAUUAUUUGUCACAAACAAAAGUCAUAUUGAGGUACAGUACAUACAUUCAAAAGUAGAUGUACGUAUUACAUCCUAUUCUAUUCCAAAAAAACAAAGAUAGCUAGAUAAGAUGGUGUCUAAUCUUCUAUUUCUCCUGGAUCCUCAUCGGGGUCUUCAUCUAGGUCUUCCUCUGGGUCUUCCUCUGGGCCUUUCUCUAACAUUCUUUGCUCCGAAUUAUCUGGUAAUGGUACGGGAAAACUUUCAUCUAGAACUUUCGAAAAGCACUUAGCCAACGGUCCCUUAUCUAGCCUAAAAUUGGUAGCUCGUAAACUAGUAUUCAGGGAUAAGGUUAUUGUCUUCUUAAAGUUUCACUGUAAAUCGCGGCUAGUUUCAUAACUUUCUCGAAGUAAAUACGUAAGGUCCAAAUAUAAAAGAUCAUCGUCAGACCAUAGCACAAUCUCAUUUAUGACUGAGGCCCAAGGUUCUGGAACAGUUUCAUAUAACCUCCGUAUCUUCACCUUAUCCCUUAAGCUAUGGUGUAUCUCUCAUAACAUCUCAAUAAUACAGUCUAGUAUAUCAAGAUGUUGUUCGAGGCUAUGGAGCGGAUGCAUACAAUAAUUAUAGUAAAAUGCCAAUAAUGUGUCCCGCUUCUUCGUAAAACCAUAAACUUCUAUCCUUGUGGGGGUUCUUACCGUUCGUGCCAUAACUAGGACAAAAAUUGAUUACGUUACUCUACAAGGCUCUAAUAAAUAUUUAGAUAUAUGUGUUUAUGACUUCAUAAUCUCAGCCAUGACUUGAUUCAAAAUAUUCCUAUAUCCAGCCAUAGAAAUAGCAAUUCAUUGCAUAAGAAAACUCAUAAACUUUAAAAAAAAAUUUACAUUGAUCGUCGGUUGAAAGUCAGUUGCUAGCUUGCUCGAUGAUGAAGGACAGUAACUUUCUUUAAAAAAAAUUCUACAGAAAUGUAUAAGAGCUCUGAUACCACGCUGUGACGCCCCGAACUUAAGUUUCGAGUGUCACGUACAAAACAUAAUAGCUUCUGCCUUUGGUACAUGUAAAUACUCUUAAAUAGAAGUAUUACAUGUUAGAAACUUAUUUUCAACUUGGUAAAAUGUCUCUCAUAAUUUUUUAAUGGCCUGCAGAAGCGCUUGUCGACAAGAAAUUAUACUUUACGUAUACGGACUCUGCACUGCCACGGUUAGUUGGGGCAGCAAGUUCAACUAUUUUUAUAAAAUUCAUCCCAACUCCAUUUUCUAUGAAAUUUAUGAAAUCAGAAAGAUAUUUUCAAUUCGUUUUCUAGGUCAAAAUAUAAAAAAUUUCCAAGAUCAUAUAAUACGGGCGUUUUACUGAAAACAGUGAGGUAUUGCACAGAAAUUUCAGAUUUGACCCUUCAACGUUUAAAAAUUCAUAUCUCAGGCUACAAAUAUCCAAAUUGAAUGAUUCUUGUGCCCAUAUUAAGACAACUCAAUGAAAAACGCAUUAAUAUUUUCAGAGUCUCAAAUAGACGUUUAUGGAGUCAAAAAUAACGUGUUGAAGUUGACCCAAAAACUGUCCCGUUUCUGCCUUUUGUCACUUGCAAGGAGACGUUUUUAAAAAAAAGGUCUCUCAACACAACAUAGAAGAUAUAAUUGCAUAAUUUACUUCCGGUACCAUAUUACAUCUUGUCUCUUACAUGUUUUUAUACAAUACCAUAAGAAAACAUAUGGAAAGCAGCCGAACAAAACAUGCAAAAGCAAAACUUUGAUGCAAAACAAGCUUGUCCCUAACCCAUCAUCGAUUAUGCCGACUGACUUCCACCAACUCUGCAAUUAUGAAUCUGAGAAUUUAGUAUAGAACACUAUGAGUAUAAAGAAUACUCAGUAAGAUACCAUGCUUGGAUUUUAACAUGUUAAUACUACACAAAAGAAUGCAAUCAAACACAUACUUUCAUAUUCCGGCUUGCUGGUGCCCUUCGGACUUGUCCUAAGGCAUAAAUAGAUAUCUAACUUUGUGGACUUGUCCACCACAUUCAUAUUAUGGGUUUUCAUGCAUAGCUUAAGCAUAAAUAUUACCAUGAAAUCAUACCACUUAAGCAUAGAAAAUAUCUUACAAUAAAACUUGAAGAAAUCUUGGUUGAAAAUGAAUUGAGAAAUGCUAGGCUGGUCCUCUUCUUCCCUCACGUUUUCUUCCCUUUUUUAAACAAGUGAUAAGUUGUUUUUCAUCCAAGGGAAAUAAAGGGCAGCAACACAUCUAUUUAUAGGUGAGAAAAAUGAUAAAUUUUGGGUGACUUUUCAAGAAAUUCAACAUGUGUAGGCUGCAUGAUUUCAUUUUCUUAAAUUUAAAACACCUCAUGCAUUAGUUAGUCACCUCAUGCUUAAAUUUAAAACACCUCAUGCAUAUAUGUUUCAUCAAUUUUCGGCCAAGUUGGAGAAACAAUGUUUACCUUUAGUAAUUAGGUAUAAAAUGGACAUUUAUCCCAAACCCCUAAUUAAUAAAUUAUUUGGAAAAACUUUUAAUAAAUCAACCAAUGCAAAAUUUGGCAACUAUAAAUAAUUUUUUGGUCAUACUAAAUUUUGAAAAGUGAAAUUGUUAUUCUAAAAAUUAAAUGAGCCCAAAAUUUAGAGUAUUACAAUCUUAAUCUGUAGCAAAAACCUAGAUGACCUUUAGAACAUUUAAAUUUUGUGCCUAUUGUGUUGCAAAAGGAACAACUGUAUGCUAAUUUCAAAAAGUGCACAUUUUGCAUGGAUAGAGUUGUUUUCCUAGGAUUUGUGGUUAGUGCUAACAGGGUGGAAGUUGAUGAAGAAAAGAUAAAAGCUAUAAAAGAAUGGCCAACACCUAAGGCUAUAACUGAAGUUAGGAGUUUUCAUGGAUUGGCUAGUUUUUAUAGGAGAUUUGUAAGAGAUUUUAGUACCUUCACCACAUCGUUGACUGAAAUAGUAAAGAAGACUGUAGGUUUCCAUUGGGGAGAAUCUCAAGAAUUGCAUUUAACACAAUUAAGGAUAAGCUAUGUAAAGCACCUAUUUUGGCAUUACCAAAUUUUGAUAAAACAUUCGAAGUUGAGUGUGAUGCAUCAGGAAUAGGUAUAGGAGUAGUGUUAAUGCAGGAAAGGAGACCUAUUGUUUACUUUAGCGAAAAGUUGAGUGGGGCAGCAUUGAAUUAUCUCACAUAUGACAAGGAGUUGUAUUCACUUUUUCGAGCAUUGGAGACUUGGCAACACUACUUAUGGCCAAAGGAAUUCGUGAUACACACCGUUCAUGAAUCUUUAAAGCAUUUGCGAGGUCAAGGUAAGUUGAACAAAAGACAUGCGAGAUGGAUGGAGUUUAUCGAGACAUUUCCCUACGUCAUCAAGUACAAACAAGGUAACGAAAAUAUAGUUGAUGAUGCGUUGUCUCAAAGGUACGUGCUUUUAAAUUCAUUAAGUACUAAAUUACUUGGUUUCGAACAUAUUAAGGGCAUGUAUGAAUCUGAUUGUGAUUUUUCUAGUAUUUAUGCUUCAUGUGACAAAGGUGCAUUUGAUAAAUUCUAUAGGCAUGAAGGAUAUUUGUUUAGGGAAGAUAAGUUGUGCAUUCCUAAUUGUUCUUUGCGUGAAUUAUUGGUAAGGGAAGCACAUGGGGGUGGUUUAAUGGGACACUUCGGGGUUCAAAAGACUUUAGACAUGUUAGGGGAACAUUUUUAUUGGCCUAAAAUGCGACAUGACGUAGAACAAAUAUGUGGAAGGUGCAUAACUUGUAAAAAGGCUAAGUCUAAGGUUUAACCCCAUGGUUUGUAUACUCCUUUGCCUAUACCUAGUGAACCUUGGGUAGACAUAUCUAUGGACUUUGUGUUAGGUUUGCCUAGGACAAAAAGGGAUCGAGAUUCAAUAUUUGUAGUGGUCGAUAGGUUUAGUAAAAUGGCGCACUUCGUAUCAAGUCAUAAAACUGACGAUGCUACUAAUAUUGCAGACUUAUUAUUUAGGAAAAUAGUAUGUUUACAUGGAGUACCUAAAAGUAUAGUGUCUGAUAGGGACGUGAAGUUUUUGAGUCAUUUUUGGCGUGUUCUGUGGGGUAAGUUAGGAACUAAGUUAUUAUUUUCUACAACUUGUCACCCACAAAUAGAUGGACAAACUGAGGUAGUUAAUCGAACUAUGACUCAACUACUUAGCACAGUGAUCAAAAAAAAUCUGAAAUCAUGGGAAGAGUGUUUACCGUUUAUAGAGUUUGCAUAUAAUCGAGCUACACAUUCUACUACUUCGUUUUCUCCUUUUGAAAUUGUUUAUGGUUUUAAUCCACUAACACCUAUGGAUUUAAUGCCUUUGCCUGUGCAUGAAUGAGGUAGCUUGGAUGGGAAACGAAAAGCUGAGAUGGUAAAAACACUCCAUGUCAGGAUGCAGAUCGAAGAGAAAGGAAAGCUAAUUGCAUCAAAAGCAAAUAAAGGAAGAAGACGCGUUACAUUUGAGCUUGGAGAUUGGGUCUGGGUGCAUUUCAGAAAAGAGCUUUUUCCAGAACAAAGGAAGUCAAAAUUGCAACCAUGAGGCGAUGGACCGUUUCAAAUCAUCGAGAGGAUCAAUGACAAUGCAUACAAAGUGGAUAUACCAGGUGAGUAUAAUAUUUCAGCUACUUUUAAUGUAACUGGUCUUUCUCUUUUCGAUGCAAGUUCAGAUUUGAAGAGGAAUCUUUAUGAAGAGGAAGGGGAUGAUAUGAAUCAAGGCGUGUCAACAACCAAGACAACUCAAGCGUCAAGUCACCGGAAGGAUGCGUUGAUCGUCGAAGGUGGACCGAUGACGCGAUCGAGGAUGAAGCAAGUGAAAGAAGCGAUGGGAUUACUCAUCAAGCAAGUCAAUGAAGACACAAUGUUCGGGGUGCAAAAUGGAGCAAGUUUCAUGUUGGAGUCGAGGGCCGAAAGGACUUGGAUCAAUGUGAUGAAGACGGAAGAAAAUGAAGCCGAAGAUUGUUCCAUGCGACCGCAUGGUUAAACAACCUAUACGGUCGCAUAGAUGGCCUCAGGGAUAAUAUUGGGGGCAAGGACUUGUUCUAUGCAACCGCAUAGAUUGAAAAAAAUAAAAAAAUGAAUUUUUUUUCAUGUUUUUGUUCUAUGCGGCCACAUAGACUAACACUAUGUGGCCGCAUAGAACAAAAACAUGAAAAAAAACACUAUGUGGCCGCAUAGAACAAAAACAUAAAAAAAAUUUUAUUUUUUUACUUUUUUCUAAAUUUUCUAGUUUCGAUAGAAUUCUUCUGAAAUUAAAUUAUUACCAUAAUUUGAUGGGUUUUG
rnacentral:lncRNA from 1 species